AGUGAACGCUGGCGGUAGGCCUAACACAUGCAAGUCGAACGGCAGCACAGUAAGAGCUUGCUCUUACGGGUGGCGAGUGGCGGACGGGUGAGGAAUAUAUCGGAAUCUACUUUUUCGUGGGGGAUAACGUAGGGAAACUUACGCUAAUACCGCAUACGACCUACGGGUGAAAGCAGUGGAUCUUCGGACCUUGCGCGAUUGAAUGAGCCGAUGUCGGAUUAGCUAGUUGGCGGGGUAAAGGCCCACCAAGGCGACGAUCCGUAGCUGGUCUGAGAGGAUGAUCAGCCACACUGGAACUGAGACACGGUCCAGACUCCUACGGGAGGCAGCAGUGGGGAAUAUUGGACAAUGGGCGCAAGCCUGAUCCAGCCAUACCGCGUGGGUGAAGAAGGCCUUCGGGUUGUAAAGCCCUUUUGUUGGGAAAGAAAAGCAGCAGGUUAAUACCCCGCUGUUCUGACGGUACCCAAAGAAUAAGCACCGGCUAACUUCGUG
rnacentral:rRNA from 1 species